rnacentral:rRNA from 1 species
GUGAGGAAUUUUCCGCAAUGGGCGAAAGCCUGACGGAGCAAUGCCGCGUGAAGGAUGAAGGCCUAUGGGUUGUAAACUUCUUUUCUCAGAAAAGAAUUAUGACGGUAUCUGAGGAAUAAGCAUCGGCUAACUCUGUGCCAGCAGCCGCGGUAAGACAGAGGAUGCAAGCGUUAUCCGGAAUGAUUGGGCGUAAAGCGUCUGUAGGUUGUUUAAAAAGUAUUCUGUCAAAGAUUAGGGCUUAACCCUAGAUAGGCAGAAUAAACUUUUAAGCUAGAGUUUGGUAGAGGCAGAGGGAAGUACCGGUGGAGCGGUGAAAUGCGUAGAUAUCGGGAGGAAUACCAAAGGCGAAGGCACUCUGCUGGGCCAAUACUAACACUGAGAGACGAAAGCGAGGGGAGCAAAUGGGAUUAGAAACCCUGGUAGUCC